rnacentral:sRNA from 1 species
AUUUUCCAGCUGUUACCUCGGCAAGGGGAACAACUCGAUGAUGUAUGGUUAGUGUUGAGGAUCUGUGUCGAUGGUCCGCACAAUCGGGACAAAGCAAAUCAUUACAGGUAAGACACAGGGAUGCGGCAUCAAUGUGUUCACCUUUUAAAUGGCAAAAUGAACACGGUUUAUUUACUUUUUUUGUCGACGUGACAAAAUCAAUUAGAUUUUUUAGACAGAAAUUUGUUUUUAAAUAAUCUACGCCAUCUUUUGGCACUUGGAACGAUUCUCUACAAAUUGGACAUGGAUAACUGUUUUUUCCAUCUGUUCCUUGACUUAAGUUGGUGAUACAGUCUUUGCAAAAGGAGUGAAGACAAGGAAGUGUUUUUGGAUCCUUAUAUAUUUCAAAACAAAUGGAGCAAGUCAGAAAUUCUUCUGUGAUAGUUGAUGCAACUGAGGCCAUUUUUUAGAUCUAAAAAAAUGAGGGUUUUAGGAUUCAUUAUAGUUUGAAUUUGUUUCCUUUAAUAUUGUUUUCUUAUUUAUUUAUCAUUAUUGAAAGUGAAGUCGU